UGGUUUUAUAUGAGCAAGCUGUCGCCAUUAUCACGAAGACCAAUAAUAUAAAUGGCAGUAUAUUGACAGGGAGAAACAGAUAAAUAGUGAAUAUAGUUGUAAAUUAUACUAUAAAUUAGAAUUCAGUCGAAAAUAACACCUUGAUGAUCGAGAUUGUUUAGUCUGCAUAGUGGGUAAAUAGUUUCGUGAAAUCGGUAAAAAGAGCAACGUGCAAGAAUUUUUUUAUUCCGUUCUGUGUAUUUUUUUGUGGACCAAUAGUCUAAUAAGAGAGAGCCCGCUGCCCUUCGGAAAUUUGUAAUGAUUCUCGUUACUGACUUUACAAAUGGUGUACUCUUAAACUUAAGAUUGUAGAGAGACAUGAUACAUAGGCGGAUCCAGGGGGGGCCUGGGGGGCCCGGGCCCCCCCCCCCCUUUCGUGGGAAAAAUUGGUUGAUUAUAUAGGGAAUCAUUGAAGCAUGACUGGAGCGGGCCCCCCCUUAGGAAAAGUUCUGGAUCCGCCACUGGAUUUAGUCCAAAUAAUUAUGACGUCUUGAAAGGCUAUUAUAAUUUUUUUCUUUGACACCUUACUUCGACGAAGUAAGGCGUCAAAGAAAAAAAUUAUAAUAGCCUUUCAAGACGUCAUAAUUAUUUGGACUACCACUGGAUUAUGUUUUAUUGUAUGGCAUUGGAUCUGUCAGCUGUCAUGCAUGUUGUUGAAGGAAGUUUAGGAUUAUUAAUUAACCAAUUUUAAGCAUUGUACAAAUAUACUUCCCCAAUUCAAAUGCAUUGAUCUUCAAAAAAGGGGGAGUUCCAACCUCCUGAACCCUCCCUCUGGAUCCACCACUGCCACUGGUAUAUAUGUAUAUUCAUGAUAUCUUUUAAAAUUGUAUUGUUAAUAAGGGUAAUUUACAAAAUGUAGGCUACACAACUGAGUAUAUAAUACCAGAACUCCAUUACUAGAGGAGUCUGCAAGCUGUGUUAUAUAUAGUCCGCAGGCAAUUAGGUCACAUUGUCCCAGCCUAUUCACAGUGGAAAUCAUUGUACAAUUUACAUGAUGUAGGUGGCCCUCCAAAAUCUUGUUUUGCUACUUAUGAAUCAUGGGUUUAAAAUAUUACCAUAAAACAGACAGUUACUAAAUAGUCUCUCUCAGUUUUAAGCUCACCUUUCCUAAAAAAAACAUGGGUGCCAAAGCUAAAUACAUGUAUAGAACAUAGGGGUAAAAUGUAGUUUUGGAUUAUAUCUGAAAAUUAAAGCAUUUAGAGCAAAUCUGACAUGGCGUAAAAAUGUUUAUUAGCUGUACAUCUAUCACUAAUCAGCCCUGAAAUUUUCAGACAAACCUGUCAACUGAUUGUUGGGUUGCUGCCACUAUAUUAGUAAUUUUAGGGAACAUUUGCAGUUUUUGGUUAUUUUCUUGAAUAUUAUUAUAGAUAACGAUUAACUGUUCACAGCAAAAAUGUUCAGCAAAGUAAGAUCUACAAAUAAGUCAAUAUGACCAAAAUUGUGAAUUUAUCCCUUAAGGAGUUAUUGGCCUUUAAAUAUAAAAAAGAAGAUGUGGUAUGAUUGCCAAUGAGACAACUAUCCACAAAAGACCAAAAUGACACAAACAUUAACAACUAUAGGUCACCGUACGGCCUUCAACAAUGAGCAAAGCCCAUACCGCAUAGUCAGCUAUAAAAGGCCCCGAUAAGACAAUAUAAAACAAUUCAAACGAGAAAACUAAAAGCCAUUUUACACAGUUUGUUCAUUAUGUUUGUUAGCUUUCAAAAAUCUUCUCUGAAACUACUGAACAAGUUGCAGGCAAACUUAUUCUAAAUGAUCCUAAGUGUUUAAUUUUGUGUUUUGUAAAAAAAAACAUGGCCACCAUGGCUAAAAAUAAAAUAGAACAUUAGCGAUCCAGGGGGGGGGGGUUCCAGGGGUUGAAACCCCCUUUUUCUUUUGGCUGAUCAAUGCAUUUGAAUGGGGACAUAUAGCUGGAACCCCCCUUUUAUCCUGGGUUUGGAACCCCCCCUUUUUAAAAUGGCUGGAUCCACCACUGUAGAACAUAGGUAACAAGAAUGUGUCCUCAGUACACGAAUGCCCCACUCGCACUAUCAUUUUCUAUGUUCAGUGGACCGUGAAAUUGGGGUAAAAUCUCUAAUUUGGCAUUAAAAUUAGAAAGAUCAUAUCAUAGGGAAACACGUACAAAGUUUGAAGUCGAUUGGACUUCAACUUCAUCAAAAACUACCUCGACCAAAAACUUUAACCUGAAGCGGGACAGACAGACGAACGAACGAACGGACGGACGGACGAACGAACGAACGGACGCACAGACCAGAAAACAUAAUGCCCCUCUACUAUCGUAGGUGGGGCAUAAAAAUGCAGUUUUUGUCUUAUGUUUCAAAAACUGAAGCGUUUGGAGCAAAUAUGUUAUCAAAAUUCAAUUGUUCAUUAGGUCAAGAUUUAUCAACCCUGAAAUUUUCAGAUGAAUGGAACAACCAAUUGUUGUGUUGCUGCCACUACAUGUAUAUAGUAAAUUUUGGAAAAAUUGCUGUUUUUGGUUAUUUUCUUGAAUAUUAUUAUAGAUAAAGACUGUAAACAGCAAAAAUGUUUAGCAAAGUUAAAAGAACAAAAUUGUCAAUUGACCACUUAAGGAGUUAUUGCCCUUUAAAGACAAUUUUGCACAAUUUGUUCAUCAUAUAAAAUUAAAGAUGUGGUGUAAUUUCCAAUGUGACAACUCUUCACAAAAGAUCAAAUGACACAGAAAUAAACAACUAUAGGUCACCAUAAAGCCUUCAACAAUGAGCAAACCCCAUACUACAUAGUCAGCUUUAAAAGGCCCAGAAAUGUCAAAUGUAAAACAAUUAAAACGAGAAAACUAACGGCCUUAUUAAUUUACAAGUAAAUGAACGAAAAACAAAUAUGUAACACAGCAACAAACAAGAACCACUGAAUUGCAGGCUCCUGACUUGGGACAGGCACAUACAUACAUGAUGUGACAGGGUUAAACAUGUUAGCGAGAUCCCAACCCUCCCUAACAUAGGACAGUGGUGUAAUAGUACAACAUUGAAACGAACAAUAAAAAUCAGUUGAAAAAGGCUUAACUCAUCAGAUGGAUACAAAUAGAAAUAUAUCCUAACAAAAACAUAGUGAAAGUGGCUGGGCACUUAUACAUCCCAACAACAAAAAGACCAUAAGUACAGAUCUGAGAGUACUCACAGUUACUGACAGCUAGUUCAAAGCCAUUAACAAUAAAUAAAAAAAAUCAUGCAUCUAAGACUAAAUUAUCAAUCAUUACACAUCCAACAUCACAUGGAUUUAGUGUAAAGACGUCACAAACAGUCAGAGAAAAAGAUGACCUUGUGCAAUGCUAAGAUAAGGUAUCAACAGAUUGUAGAUCCAUGAAUGUGCAUAUAUGUAUAUUAUAUAUAACAAUAAUAUUUAGUUUGCUUUUAGUUUACUGAUAACAAAAUCAAUAUUAAUACCAAUUCUUUUAGAAUAAGUUUGCUAACUUUAAAUAAUCUUAAUAUUCCUCUGAAAUUACUGAACAAAUUUCAACCUAACUUGAGGUGAAUUAUAAUUAGGGUAUCUCCAAUAAAGUUUAUGUUUUAUUUUCUGUUUUCCCGAGAGAAAAAAACAUGGCCACCAUGGCUAAAAAUAGAAUAUAGGGUAGAAUGCAGUUUUUGGCUAAAUAAUUAAUUAUUUCAAAAACUAAAGCAUUUAGAGCAAAUCAGAGAAGGAGAUAAAGUAUAAUUCAUUAGGUCAAGGUCUACCCGCCCUGAAAUUAUCAUCAGGGUAACAGAUGUUUAGGUUAUUGCCCCUGAAUUGAUCAUUUAAGGAAAAUUUGCAGUUUUCAAUUAUUAUCUUGAAUAUUAUUAUAGAUAAAGAUAUUAAACUGUAAACAGCAAAAAUGUUAAGCAAAGUAAGAUCUGCAAAUAAGUCUUCUGAACUAAAUGUUCAAUUUACCCUUAAGGAGUAAUUGCCUUUUAAAUUCCAUUCUCAAUUUUAUUAUUUACAAUUUGUUCUCUUAAAUAUUAAAAAAUCUUCUCCUUUGAAAUUGCUGAAUUAAAAUCCGCCAAACUUAGGCUGAAUGAGCUUUAGAGUAUCUAGUAUAAAUUUUGUAUUCUAUUUCCUAGCAUAUAAAAAACAGCCCUAUGGCUAAAAGGAAACUAAGGGGUAAAAUGCAUUUUUAAUUUGAAAAGCAAAAAUAAUAAUUGAUGAAGAUUUAAGCAAAAAAUUACAGUUGAGAGCCUCUUGUUCAUUAAUUACAAUGUAUGUAUUAUAUAUUCAUUAGAAUCUGUCAUUUUAUUAGUGUUUUAUAAGCAUCCGCUUUUAAUUUGCACAUUUCCAAUUCAAUGGACCAUGUUUUAUCUUUAUAAACGUUCGAUGUGACUGUGUCACUGUGGGCCAAUUAAUUCACUGUGUGCUAUGCAUAAAUUAUCAAGACCCAGAAUUGCAAAAAAAUAUUGCUACAUGUCAUUUUCAAUAGCUUUUUUCCCUACUGAGGACUGUCUAUAAAGCAUGAUGAAUUUAUGUCUUCUUUUUUUUUUUUUAGAUAAAAUGCCUUUGUUUAGGAAAAGAGGCAGACCUUAUGCCCAUGUUACAUAUGAAAGAGGUAAAAGGAAAUUAAAGAAAGGUGUUCAGGUCAUAAAAAAAAAUCAAACAGGAAACAAAACCUACAUCUGGACUCUAGCUUGCUUCCAAAUUUUCAGGAAAUGACCUAAAUUCAGAUCCUCCUUGUUCAAGUUCAGUGCUUUGUAUAGAAUAUUGCCAUAAAAUAUUGGAUGUGAAAUACCUGAAAGUAUAAGAUGUCUACAUGUUGAUCUUUAAUUACGAAUGAUGUUCUUGUACGAUGAUAACAUUUUGUAAAUGUUUUGACUUGUUUGUGAUAUCAAGAACUUUGUAAUAAUUUUCAAUAAUUCAGAGAUUAAUUUUUUUUUUCAUUAAAAUCAAAUAUUUUGUUACAAUACAUACAGGAGCAAAUCGAACAAGUUGAGAUAUAUGUAUAAACACAAUAAGAUGUUGACAGAUUGUUUCUGAAUGUUUCUUAUUUAUUUCUUGAAUAAAUUCCAGUAGUACAUUGUGUACUAGUACUGCUUUUUUCAAAGAUAAUAUUGUAAUGGUUUGGGAAAAAAAUCCCUCUUAACUAUUGAAAGUUAGAUAACUAUUCACAUACAUGAAUGAAUGUUUAUUUUUUAGGUACAGAUGCCCUUAAAGUUUUUGAUGAAGUAAAGAGCAAGAUACUAUCCCAUCCGGCAGUGAUACCUUCAUGACACUGUAUGAUUAAUUUGACAAAGAAUAACAAUAGGACACCAACAGUUCACAUAUGAGAAGAUGUUUUAGGGUAAACCACAUACUGUGUAGGAUUUAAUAAUGUCCCCUAUGAAAUGAUGUCCAGAGGACAUUAUUUCAUAGUAAAUACAUGGACAAUAUUUACUUAUUUAGAUGUGUCCUGGACACAAUUUCCUAUGAAAAUAUGUCCUUGGGUAUGAAAAAGUGUCUAUGAACAUGAACAUUAUUUAAUACUAUAAUUCUGUACAGGUGGACACUUUUUUUCAGGACAUUAUAUCCAUCAGGACAUUUUUUUGAUAUGAUCAAAAUAUUAAAUGAUGUCCAUUGCCUUGUUAUUACUGGACAUAUUUUAACUUUAAUACAGUGUUACCGUGACAGAGAGUUGUCUCAUUGACACUCAUAUCUUCCUUAUCUUCCUAUUUAUACUUUUAAUAUAUAUACAUGUGUGAUGAUUUAAAUUGAAAUAAAAAAGUGACAGAUGCUGUUCAGUAUUAUUUUCCUUGAAGGACACAAUUAAAUAACAAUUACUACAAAAAAUUGUCCUGUAGGUGGACCAUAUUUCAUAACUGUUGCUGUAAAAUGCUGUAUACGUAGGGGACAACAUUCCAUGGCAAUGGACAGUGUUUAAUACCAAAAUUCUAUAUUUUCUAUUGCCUUCUUCUCAUAAUAAAUAUAGUAUAGUUCUUCACAUUUGAUUUUAUACUUUACACUCUUCUUCCUUUUUGUUCUUAUCAUUAGCUGGGUAUUUCUUAAAACUUUAAUUUCUCUCUAUUUACUUCCAUCCUUAAUUUUUUGUUUACAUAUGUAUAUUAAUCAAUUUCUAAUCAAUCCUUCAGAUUUUUAUUAAUAUUCAAGUGUAAUAAAACUUUUUAAUGGCCUUUGUAUUACUUCCCUUGGAGGACACAAUUUAAUAGUGACUACUAUGACAACUUGUCCUGUAGGUGAACACUUUUUCAUAACUUUUGCAGUAAAAUUCUGUCCAGUUGAGGGACAAUAUUUCAUGGCAAUGGACAUUAUUAAAUACCAAAAUUCUAUGAAAAAUUGUCCACAUGGACACUAUUAUGUCUUACAACUGUACAGAAAUUAUUUAAAUAAUUUGAAAUAAAAAUAUUAAGCAAAAUUUUUAAAAUAUUGUUGGGCUUUAAAUGACACAGAAUUAACCACUAUAUGUCACUGUAAGCCUUCAACAAAGAACAAAACCAACACCACAUAGUCAGCUAUAAAAAGCCUCAAAACAAAAAAUGUAAAACAAUUCAAACGAGAAAAAUAAUGGCUUAAUUUAUGUAAAAAAUGAUAUGUAACACAGUCACAGCAACAAAAAUCCACUACAGGCUCCUGACUUGUGACAGGCACAUACGAUUGUGAAGGGUUAAACUAGUUUGAAGGCACUAACCCUUUCCCUAACCUGGAAAAGUGGUGUAACAAUACAACAUAAUAACAAACUAUGAAAAUCAGUUGAAUUUUUUUUUUAACUCAGCUCAAGGAUACAAAUAGAAAUACAUCUAACAAAAAAACAGAAAAUUGACAUGGAUGGGUACUGGUACAUCCCAACAUAAAAAUAGAAAAAAAAACAGCCUAAUUAAUGUACAAAAAAAAUGAAUGAAAAACAAAUAUUCACAGUUACUGACAGCUAGUUCAAAGCCAAUAACAACUUAUAAAAAGAAUCAUGCAUCUAAGACUGAUUUGUCAAUCAAUACACAUGCACCAUCUACUGGAUUUAGUAAACAGGUGUCAUAAAGUAAUUCAGAGAAAAAACAUGAACUUGUGCAAUGCCAAGAUACAGGUAUUGACAGAUUGUAAGAUCCAUAAAUGUGCAUAUGUAUAUAACUAUAAUAUUAAGUUCGAUUUUAAUUAAAUAAUAACAAAUCAAUAUUAUACCAAUAAAAACAAAAUUUAAAGACCUAAUUACAGUGUUGAUUUGGUAACCGUUUCAAAUAAGUUUAUUUAAAGGAUCAAUAAUUUUACCUGGAUCGUUUCUAAAUUUCUGUGCUCGGAAAACAACAUAUGAUCAACAUAUACAUUUGUACUCAUAUUUGUUCUUUUUUUUCAUAUGAGGCAGACUUCAUACAUGUACAGGAGCUUCUAAAGAGGUUUGAAAAGAUGGAGAUGUGGUAUGAUUACCAAUGUGACAACUAGUCACAAUUGAUUUGGGUAGAAGGGACAAUAAGUAAUGCCUUCAACCAUGAGUAUAAAAAGACCAAAUCAGAAAAAAUAAUGGCUAGAUUUAGGACCAAAUAAAUUGAAAACAAUUUUAAUGGAAACCAACCACUCAAUUUCAGGCUCCUGGUUCCAGAUUUGGGACAGGCACAUAUUAAAUAUUUUAAUUUGAGAUAACUUGUGAGCACUUAACCAAGAAAUAUUAACAAUAUGUAACAAAAAAUCUCCCCUUUGGCUUACAUUCUUGCAUAGAUUUUCCAUAUGUGAAACUGACUGAAUUAAUUAAAAAAAUACACAUUUAUUACUUUUUAUUUUUCUCUUUCUUUAUCAACUUUAAUUAAUUUGCUAUCAUGUAAUUGUUUCUUUGUUAUUUUUAGGUGAAUGGUUAUAGUAAUUUAGACAAGCAAAGC
rnacentral:lncRNA from 1 species